rnacentral:rRNA from 1 species
AAAGGCGGCCACAGCGGUGGGGCGACACCCGUACCCAUUCCGAACACGGAAGUUAAGCCCACCAGCGUACCGGGAAGUACUGGAGUGAGCGAUCCUCUGGGAACCGCGGUUCGCCGCCUGCC